CCUACGGGAGGCAGCAGUAGGGAAUAUUGCACAAUGGGCGCAAGCCUGAUGCAGCAACGCCGCGUGCGCGAGGAAGGCCUUCGGGUCGUAAAGCUCUGUUGUUAGGGAAGAACAAGUACCGGAGUAACUGCCGGUACCUUGACGGUACCUAACCAGAAAGCCACGGCUAACUACGUGCCAGCAGCCGCGGUAAUACGUAGGUGGCAAGCGUUGUCCGGAAUUAUUGGGCGUAAAGCGCGCGCAGGCGGUUUCUUAAGUCUGAUGUGAAAGCCCCCGGCUCAACCGGGGAGGGUCAUUGGAAACUGGGAAACUUGAGUGCAGAAGAGGAAAGUGGAAUUCCAAGUGUAGCGGUGAAAUGCGUAGAGAUUUGGAGGAACACCAGUGGCGAAGGCGACUUUCUGGUCUGUAACUGACGCUGAGGCGCGAAAGCGUGGGGAGCAAACAGGAUUAGAUACCCUGGUAGUCCACGCUGUAAACGAUGAGUGCUAAGUGUUAGAGGGUUUCCGCCCUUUAGUGCUGAAGUUAACGCAUUAAGCACUCCGCCUGGGGAGUACGGUCGCAAGACUGAAACUCAAAGGAAUUGACGG
rnacentral:rRNA from 1 species